AACCCACGUUGUGGACACUUCCGCAAAAGGUCCUUGAGUCAUUCCCAAGUCUCAAACAAAGUUUCAAGCUCCAUCUGAACAAAUGUAGAUAUCCCAUUAUGAAGCU